rnacentral:lncRNA from 1 species
UCCAUUAAAAAUCAAGAAACAACACCUUUUACUAUUAACUACUAAUGAUAAAAAGUGUCACAAAGCUAUGCAAACGCAGCACCUGUUUGCACAAAAAUCUAACAGGAUAAGUGAAAACGCAGAUCUAAACCAGACCCGAGAAAGAGCUGUUUAGAAGCCUUUUUUCAGAGCUUAGUAGAAAUAGAAAAGGAAAUGGCACAUACGACUCAAUCAUUAGAAAAGAAACCAAACCAGAUGAAAUUGAAGAAAAGCACUCAUCUAGUCAGGUUUCUUUCCCAGCAUAGUCCAGAAAUGACCAGAUUAUAAUCUGGAAACUAAAUUGCACAACCUAGAUCGAGUUAGAACCCAGCUAAACAGGUGCCAGAAGCUCUCCCAAUGCUAGCUGAGCAUUACCAGAUGCAUUAAAUGCCACCGAUGGCUGUCGCGUCCAACUUGCACACGAUGCCACAAAACCCAGAUAUGUUGAGAGAGAGGUAGGUCCUCAAUUUUCAGAAUCCCAAGUCAAUCCCUACCAACCGUGCUAGAAAAAGCAACAAUUGAUUGAGUGUUGCCCUCAAACCAACAGAUUUUCGUGAGAUCAAACGAAGCUAGAUCUGGGAGAAACACUGCUUGAAUACACUUAUUUUUUUGUUUUUCUACAUUUCUACAAUCAAGCUAUGUUUCAUAUGGCUAUAAAAGCCGAGAAUACUGGAUGAUUAAAAAAGUUUAAUGGUACUUUUUGAAGGAGGGUUGCGGUCUCAAAAAUGCUCUUGUUUGGCUAUGAAGGCAAAGUAUGGCAUCU